rnacentral:rRNA from 1 species
AUUGAACGCUGGCGGCAGGCCUAACACAUGCAAGUCGAACGGUAACAGGAAGAAGCUUGCUUCUUUGCUGACGAGUGGCGGACGGGUGAGUAAUGUCUGGGAAACUGCCUGAUGGAGGGGGAUAACUACUGGAAACGGUAGCUAAUACCGCAUAACGUCGCAAGACCAAAAAGGGGGACCUUCGGGCCUCUUGCCAUCGGAUGUGCCCAGAUGGGAUUAGCUAGUAGGUGGGGUAACGGCUCACCUAGGCGACGAUCCCUAGCUGGUCUGAGAGGAUGACCAGCCACACUGGAACUGAGACACGGUCCAGACUCCUACGGGAGGCGGCAGUGGGGAAUAUUGCACAAUGGGCGCAAGCCUGAUGCAGCCAUGCCGCGUGUAUGAAGAAGGCCUUCGGGUUGUAAAGUACUUUCAGCGGGGAGGAAGGGAGUAAAGUUAAUACCUUGGCUCAUUGACGUUACCCGCAGAAGAAGCACCGGCUAACUCCGUG